GUUACCCAUCAACAACAACGGCUUCUCUCCUCCACCACCACCUCCUCCUCCUGCUGCUGCUCCUCCUCACCCCCAUCCUCACCAUCACCCACAACAACAACAACAACAGCCUCCACCAGCAAGAGCAACACCACGACCAUCACUACUACCACAGCCCUCCACAACCCAGGUUCAAAUAUCACUUCUGGGAUGGAUGGGAACAAGUGUAAGUUUUACAAUUUACACUCCAUUAAACCUUCUUAAUAUACAGAUGUUUAUAAUGCAACCAAUUAAUUGUAUUUUGAAUAGCAAUGAAGAUUGGAAACAGUCUCAAAAAUCAUGAUAAAUUUAAAUUUUAAAUUUCAUGUCAGUCAGAGUUGUAGGACAAAACAUUUGGAUGGUCAAACAUUCUCCACCUCUGCCUUCUGGAUUAAAAAAAACCAUCUUUGGCCUCUAGAUUUAAUGGGAAAGUCAUAAUUUAUGACUUACUUUUAAAAAUACCCCUAUGGAUUAGUUUAUUCAAGCAACAGGUUUUACACUUCGGUUGAAAUCCAGCAGUGAGUCAGAGUAGGCCCAUUGAAUCAGUGAAGCUUACAGAGGAGUUGACUCACCAAAUCCUCAGUAAUUUAGUGGACCUAUUCUAGUUACUAUUCAACUUACUACUGGAUUUCAACAUUUGUAAGAGAGAUUCUCAUUCCAAGUAUUUGCCAAUGUACAACUGUGUAGUUAUCUGUCUUGGAUCAGAGUGAGAAGGUUAUGCUUGAUAGCUAUAUGUUGGUGAACUCGGGCAACAUCUAAAAAUGCAUUAUAGAAAUGGAAGCCUUCCAAAAUGCUUCGAUUACUUUCUAACAAAUAUGGGUAAAUGCUUAACUUUCAUUUAAAAAGUAAUUCAGGCUAUUCCUAAAGCUGCAGGAUAGACUUUUCCAGUAAAUUGUAUACAUUUAUUGAAAUCUUACUUAACACUGUUAAGGUUUAAUGUCAUUGUUUCUUGGUAACAAUUUAUUGAUUUGUUUUUAUAACUCACAGCAGUGUGAAACGUGUUGAUCAAAAUAUGCUUCUUUGUUUUUAGAAAGUUAAUGAUUACUAACAUUUUUAAAAAUUAUUUGUAAAGAAAAGACAAUCCAUCAUAUUACAAAUAAUAAAUACAAAGCUUAACAUAGUAAACUGUCA
rnacentral:lncRNA from 1 species